GUUAGGUUGCAAAGGAAGCUCUCUGCAUUAAUUGAGUUGCAAGGUAGAACGGUGACUAUGCUCAUAGUGAAAUGGAGGCUGAGGCUUGCCAAUUGACAUUGUAGAAGCAGUAUCUUAACCAGGAGCACUGCAGUUCAUAGUUGGAGAUGUAGGAAAGUGCCUUGUUUCCAAUAGGGAUGGGCAAAUUCAUCAAUUUCAGUUUCUUUCAGUUCCUCAUUUUUCCGAUCUUAAAUUCAGUUAUUCACAUUUUCUCAUCGGUUUUUGAUUUUCUUUUUUAAAGUCCUUAUGAAUGAAUUUAUCCUAAUAUACACAUCUUUACAAAGCAUAUUUCCCUUAACAUUUAUACAUUUUCUAGCAUAAUGCAUUCUUGCAUGCAGUUUUCACUAAUAUAAGCAUUCCAUGCACAGUUUGGUGUAUGGUUUUUUUGGUAGACAUUGCCUGGCUGGAAAACCGCUUUGCAAAAUUCAUUGAGGUGUGAAUGAGAUAGAUUUGCCUUUAAAUGCUAAAUCCAUCCCUAAUACCAAGUGAGACUAUUUGUCUAUAUAGCCCAGGAUUGUCUACUUUGAAUACCAGUACCUCUCCUGGGUCUCAGGCAGAGUUCUAUCCCACCACCAACUAACUGAUCCUUUUAAGUGGACAACUUGGGGAUUGAAUCUGGGAUCUUAUGCAUGCAAAACAUUUGUUCUGCCACUGAGCUAUGAUUCAUCCCCAUAGCUCUUUAGCCAUUAGAGUAGCUCAGUCCAUGGUCUUGAGACUCAGACAAUGCUUAACAGCUGCAGCCAACACAAUGAAUUCCAUCAGAGGCAUUUCAGGUGCAAAGGUAUCCCUUCUUUCUAUCGGCUAGCAAUGGACUAGUCUGGUUCCUGGCAUUGUAUGCCAUCUAGUGGAAGCAUUGCAAAAGAAGAUUUUGUUGACUUGCAAAGCAUGGUUGCAUUUCCUCUGCUCAUCCUUUGAAAUGUAUACAAGGGAGGGAGGAGAAAGGGUGGGUGCAAAACAGGUAAUAAAUGUGUUUCAUUAUAUCCUGGGUGAAGAAUUUAAUUUAUUUUCACAAACAUCUUUUCCAGCAACACUAAUAUCAUAGUAGCGCAUGGUCUGGAGGAAAUGAGUUUUCCUAGUUCGAAGGGAUGCUAUUCUGCACCUAAACUCAAUUUAGUUUCUUUCCCUGCCUAUGGCAGGCAUAAAGCUGCAGUUCUUGAACCAACCUACAUAGCAUGGCCUUUCAUGUAGAAAUUCUUCUCCCCUAAUCACAAAUUAGCUGAAUUUGGUUGUGGCUCUGCAGAGAGGAAGAGAAUGUGCAACAUGAGUUUGAGGCAACUCCUGGGUUGGAGGGCUAGAUGUGGAAUCAGGGAGUGUGCUGGCUGGCAUUUCAUUCUGGGCAAUAGCCAAUCCACAGCAAUGCACACAAGGAGGAACAAGGAGGACCCUGCUAGCCCCUUAACAAAUCCCUCAGUACAUGUGUGUGUGGCUACAGGCACACUGGGGAGGAAUGUGGCCAACACAUGUCUCUCUUUCUUACCCAUUUUUGGCUGACAUUUUAAACGGAUUCCUCCCAUCUUUGAGCUUUUGCCUCAGGAAUAUCAGAUUCCCAAUAAUGAAUGCAUGGUUUUGCAUCUCAAAAAGACACACAACACAACACAUUCAUAUUGAGAUUGCCAUGUGGUAGUGGUUGCACAAUUAUCAUGAACACCUAUUGGCUAGCAGAUCAUGAAUGUCCGUGUCCCUGUCCCUGUCCGUGUGGCACUUUGUAACCUCUCUCCUUCUCUUGCUCUUUCAGAAGCUUUUAACUUGGCAUUUUUAAAGAAAGAAUCGUGCCUAAUGUUAUAGCUAACAGUUAAGAGCCAAGAUCUGAACCAGAAGGUCUUUGAGCACAGUUUGAGGGGGAGGGGAUGAAGAAUUACCAGUAUCUCCACCAGGAUUUGUUGAAGAAAAUCACAAAUGUGCAUAAAUGUGCACAAAACCUAUACAAAAGGGUAGCAAAAAUCUUUCCUAACAGUUGUUUUUGCAGUGGUGGUGCCACAUAUCACGCCAUUGUGCACAUUAGUGGCUCAAAACGCAGUUAUAUCAUUCUUUUUCUCAAUUUGGAUCAAAGCUGGUUUGAGAAAAGAAGUGUUAAAAUGCAGUAUUUCAUAAGAAUUGGCAACAAUAGAUACAAGAAAAACAUUGGCACAUGCCACAGGGAACCACUGCCUGCCAAGCCCCCUUACAAAAGAAAUGUUGCCAUACUGGCACCCCAAACAGCAGGUCCAGUUCCCAUUUAAAUUCCCCCAAGUGUUCCAGAGUGACACUACGUCAUAGGCAUUGUGGGAAAUUAAAAUGGCAGCUGGGUUCAGCUGCCCAGUGCUGUUUAGAUCAUUGCUUGGAGGACUGUUUGAAGCCUACUAGAGUCCACCAAAGGAGGAGAGGGCCUCUGGUUGGCCCAGGAGCCUUGCCCAAUAGUGUAUCAAUCUUCCCACUUUAGCUCAGAACAAAAAAAAGUUCUUUAUGACCUUUGUAUACAACAGAGGUGAGGAACCUGUGGCUGUGAAAGGUUGCCAGACUCCUUAACUCCCAUCAGUCCAGAGCUAGCAUGGCCAGAGGCUAGGGAUGGUAGUAGUUGUAAAGGUAAAGGUAAAGGGACCCCUGACUGUUAGGUCCAGUCGUGACCGACUCUGGGGUUGCAACGCUCAUCUCACUUUAUUGGCC